UGGGGAAUAUUGCACAAUGGGGGAAACCCUGAUGCAGCGACGCCGCGUGGGUGACGAAGUAUUUCGGUAUGUAAAGCCCUAUCAGCAGGGAAGAAGAUGACAGUACCUGACUAAGAAGCCCCGGCUAACUACGUGCCAGCAGCCGCGGUAAUACGUAGGGGGCAAGCGUUAUCCGGAUUUACUGGGUGUAAAGGGAGCGUAGGUGGCAUGGCAAGCCAGAAGUGAAAACCCGGGGCUUAACCCCGCGGAUUGCUUUUGGAACUGUCAGGCUGGAGUGCAGGAGGGGCAGGCGGAAUUCCUGGU
rnacentral:rRNA from 1 species